CUGAUACAGAGUACAAAUAUACAUUAUGCAGUCCAGAGCUGUAAAAGAAGAAAAACACCUUAAAUCAAUUAGUUUUUAUUUUCUCUUUUUUACCAACCAAUAAAAUGUAAAGAUGCCUUCAUAUCUAUCUACAGUUGGGAUAUUUUGUCAAUUCUUAAAAUCUGGAACUUUCCCCCUUUGCCAUCUUCGCUGGCAGAGUAUGUAGACAAGAACUAAAUAAACACAUACAAGGAAUUUGACUGUUUCUUGUUUGCUCUAAAUGUACUUACACAAAAAUAGAAAUAAGCACAGCAAAGAUAAACAUAAAUAUUUUGCUAUUAUGUACACACAAGUAGGUAAAAGAGGUGAUACAUACAUAUAAAUAAACAAUGCAUCAAUGGACAACAAUUUGUGUCUUUGUACAAGUGAGGCUCUUUCUUUAAAUUGCAAACAAAUCAACUGUUGUAUAAAACUCUGAAUUCCUCUUGUUCUUGCCCCAAAACACGUUUUUAGGUAAAAAUAAUAAGAAACUUUACCAACUGGAACAUGGAUUUUCUAAGUCAAUAAUUUCAUACUGCUACAAAAAUUACAUAUUGGUUUAGGAAUAAGAGUAAAACGUUUAAACAAAGUUUUAAAAAACCUUUUAUGUGUGGAGAAAUUCCUCUUAUUCAGACUGACUUUGGCUCUGUGUAAAUAAAGUUUUGUUUUUUCAUUUAUGAACCGUCCCAUCCAAUAUAUCUCAACAGUUUUUUUUUGGUAAGUAAUUUCUAUUUUCUAGUUUAAUGAAAUCAAACUCUUCCUUUAAACUUUUUUACAAACUGAACCAACACGAAGAGGAAGAUCCUGGUAAGAUAACUUUUAUUAUUAUUUAUUUUAAGAUUUAAAAAAAAAUCAUAUUAUGGGACUUUAUAUCUAAAUAUGAAUAUCUAUAAAUAAAUUAAAUAUAUUUAUAUAUCUUUGUUACAGUCGAUGUGUUUUUGUUUUACAUUAAGUGUUUAGGAGUUUUAUUCUGAAAAAGAAAACAUCAGCGUCAUAUUGCGUUGCUUCCGGGAGUGACGCUGAUGUUUAUGAUGUAGCGCAGGCGCUGAUUGUUUGUUUGGCGACAUGUGAGAGAUUUAAAGAGUGAAAACGGAGUUAGAUUUUAGUGAACAUGCUCGUUAAAUGUCAGAUACACCAGCUUGUCUAACGUCACACUCGUGACAGUGACGUUAGACUGAGAAGGAAGAAAAACGCAUCACUAAUUAUCCUCCGUGUGAAACUGCUGUUCUCCUUCCUGGAGCGGGUUCCGUGGCCCCCCGGUCCGCAGCUGCAGGAUCAGCAGGGACCGGAUCUCUGGCUGCAGGCGUUCUGCUGCUGACUGGCUGCCUCUUUGUUUGGGUCUUCAGUAACAUCUGGUUGUCCACGGCGAGUCUGGCGAUCUUCAUGCUGCUUCGUUUCCUGGUUCAGGAGGUUCAGUCGAGGAUCCGCCGCCGCCACGACUACCUGCGAGACCCGGUUUCCCGUAGCGUCUGCAGAUGAGCUGGCAGCCGCCGACCGCGUCGACACGGUCGCCUCUUCUUCAGAAGAGCUCUGAGGAGUGUGGACACAUCAUGUCCGACACGCUGGAUGUCCCUGAACGCCGGUGAAGGACGUGUGGAGGCCAGAGAGGCGGCCGCCGGCCCUGGAGUCGCCACUCAGCCGCACAUCAACCACUUCUUCCUCUUUGAUGGUCUUUGAGCAGCUGGUCAUACAGACGACUCCUCCGCCUGAAGACGCCGGCGAGGUGGUGGAGAUCCGGUUUUCUACGUCUGAGGAGCGGCAACAGAAACGAGCAGGUGCUGAAAAAUCCACUGUGGUAGAUUAAGUUUACCUGUUCUCACCGAUGAACACAGUCUGAAAACAAUACAUGAAGUUAAUGUUUUACUGCCCUUUAAAGAGUUAAAUACAGAAUAAAAUAUUCUCUACAAGCUUGUAACAGCGUAGAAGGAAGGUGAAGGGAGGGCGAGAACUUUAUUAUUUUAGCACGUUCACAGCCUGAAGCCUUCAAAAAGAACAAAAAGUUUUUAUUCUUCAAGUUUUCCUGUACACUGAAAUUCUUACUUUGCUGUCCACAUCAAAUGCCUACAAUAAAAAUGAAUAGAGGUAUAAACAUAUAUAAACAGCUCCACAUGAUAUCGCUCAUUCUUUAAUGUCCUCACUCAGGUUUAAACACACCUGCACAUUCAGUUAUGUACUCAGUGUUCUAGUACAUGUUGAAUACUGAUGCUGUUAAAGACCAAAAUGUUUGUUAUCAAAUGCAGCGUCAGACUUUAAAUUUAACAGCCUGACGGGUGGAUCAGUAGAUAAGAAAAUGAAACCAGACAUUAGCUAGAACACACUGAUCUAACAAGGUGUUGUAUUAGUGUAUAAACCAAAGAAACAUCUUUAUUAGUUUAUUCUUCAAAAGAGAGAUUACUGUACUGGUGUUAAUAAGACUUGCUGUCGAAUGCUUGGUCAAACUAGUUGAAUUAAUUCGAUGUUGGUGACUUCAGUGUAGAGCAGGCUGUUUGCUCAUGGACGGGAUAUUAGUGAUGGCUCAGUCAGUGAGUUGCUGUUGUAACGUCAGCUGACUAAUCGCACAUGAAUUCUAUGUGUGAAUGUGGCAAAUUCUCCUAAAUCAAUGGUUCAAGCAAACAAACAAAUCUGCCUGAAUGACGUAGUUUAUUUUUCCCACUGUGAAAUAUCCUCCUUAGAACACAUAAACAGUCUUUAGUUAUCAAAUUUAAAGGGCUCCUAAUCAAAAAUGUUUAAAACAAGGACAAUAUCCAGAACAAGUGAAGAAAUAUACGUGCAAACUUUUGUAAAAUAAAAAACACAAGUAUUGCUUCUGUUAAAUAUUAUUGCAUCUGUCUGUAGGUGUCAGAACUAGAUUGGGAACAAACGUCAGUAAAUGAUACACAGUGACAGUGAUUUUGCAUAUUUGAGCCCAAACACCUGCACUUGCACCUGGUGAGGUUUCUUUUUUCUAGAUGUGCAGUUUUUAGAUUUACCUUCUUCCUCCCAGGCAGAGACACGACGCAGCGAUGGAUUAUCUAUCUGCACGGUCUUAUCCGUCAGAGUUACUGUACAUUUA